ACUAUUUUGGCAGAUUAGUGCAAUAAAUUUAGAAUUUAUAUAUGUAUAAAUAUACAGAUAGUA
rnacentral:tRNA from 1 species